GAUGAACGCUGGCGGCGUGCCUAAUACAUGCAAGUCGAGCGAACAGACGAGAGUGCUUGCACUCUCUGACGUUAGCGGCGGACGGGUGAGUAACACGUGUGUAACCUACCUAUAAGACUGGGAUAACUUCGGGAAACCGGAGCUAAUACCGGAUAAUAUUUAGCUUCGCAUGAAGCAAUAGUGAAAGACGGUUCUGCUGUCACUUAUAGAUGGACCCGCGGUGUAUUAACUAGUUGGUGAGGUCACGGCUCACCAAGGCAACGAUACAUAGCCGACCUGAGAGGGUGAUCGGCCACACUGGGACUGAGACACGGCCCAGACUCCUACGGGAGGCAGCAGUAGGGAAUCUUCCGCAAUGGACGAAAGUCUGACGGAGCAAUGCCGCGUGAGUGAAGAAGGUUUUCGGAUCGUAAAACUCUGUUGUAAGGGAAGAACAAGUACGUUAGUAACUGAACGUACCUUGACGGUACCUUACCAGAAAGCCACGGCUAACUACGUG
rnacentral:rRNA from 1 species